rnacentral:rRNA from 1 species
AGGACGAACGCUGGCGGCGUGCUUAACACAUGCAAGUCGAGCGGAAAGGCCUUUCGGGGUACUCGAGCGGCGAACGGGUGAGUAACACGUGAGUAAUCUGCCCAUCGCUUCAGGAUAGCCAUCGGAAACGGUGAUUAAUACUGGAUAUGACAUUCCUUCGCAUGUUGGGGUGUGGAAAGUUUUUUCGGCGGUGGAUGUGCUCGCGGCCUAUCAGCUUGUUGGUGGGGUAAUGGCCUACCAAGGCUUUGACGGGUAGCCGGCCUGAGAGGGUGACCGGCCACGACUGGGACUGGAGACACGGCCCAGACUCCUACGGGAGGCAGCAGUAGGGAAUAUUGGACAAU